CAUUUGAUGAUAUCAUCAGGUACUCCAUUCAUUCUUGUUGUACUGCAUAUAUCCUCGAAGUUAUCCAAAUGGUAGACUGGAUUCUCUGAGGUGAGACCAUGGAACUGAUUCUGUUUCACCAAAGAUAGCAACCCUGUCUUGAUCUCAAAAUCAUUCCUAUUGAUUGGCAGCUGUUGGUUCCUGUCUCGAAAAUGCACAACAUUAGGAGCAUCAUGAUCUCUCAGAGUCUGUCGAGCAGGCACGGGCCUAGCAUUUGCUACAGCUACACGAGCGACAUUAGCAGCGGCAUCUUGUUCACCAGCAGCAGGAGCAUUAUUGUUUCUAGGCGGUGGAGGAUCCUGAAACACUCCUUGAUGAUCACCUCCAAGUGGGAGUUCAUCUCUAU
rnacentral:lncRNA from 1 species